rnacentral:rRNA from 1 species
GACUGUUUACCAAAAACAUAGCCUUAAUCAUUAUUUAAGGUGCAACCUGCCCAAUGAUUUAUAAUUCAAAAUAGAUAAAAACUAUUUAAAAAAAUUAAAAGGACGCGGUAACCUUGACCGUGAUAAUGUAGCAUAAUCAUUUGCCAUUUAAUUGAUGGAUAGUAUGAAUGGUUACACGAAUGUUCCACUGUCUUAAAAAGAAAUAAAAUUAAAACAAAAAUUAGAACAGUAGUAAAGAUACUACUUAAAAUUGUAAGACGAAAAGACCCUAUAGAGCUUGACUAUAAAUUCUCAAAUAAGAGAAAUUGGUAGUUUAGUUGGGGCGACUAUCUUUUAAAAUUAACAAAGAUGAAUAAAUCAAUAAACACAUUACUGUAAAAUUAAUUAAUUUAACAGUUAUAAAAAUAGAUUAUAAUGACCCGUUAAAAUUAAGUAAAAAAAUUAACGAAUAAUAAAUAAAAGCUACCUUAGGGAUAACAGGAUAAUUUCAUUUAAGAGACCUAAUCGAAAAUGAAGUUUGUCACCUCUAUGUUGAAUUAAGAUAUCCAGACGAUGCAGAA